UCCCUCCGCAGCCCGGCCCCGAGCGAGCUCCGUGCGUCCCGGCGGGACCCAGGGCUCUCCGGGUUCAAAGGGCUGCAGCCCGAGGGAAUGCCCUCUUCGCUGUGCCCCAGGGGGCAGAAGCGGACCGCAGGGCGGUGGGAUCGGCCUGGGCCACGGUCUUUGAAGAGUGUGUCAGAAAUGGAGCUCAGCGGUGGGGAUCAGUGGAGAAUGAGCGAGACCACUUUCCUGCCAAGUGGGGCUAACUGAUGCAUACAGAAAGUAAACAGAUCAUGAAAGAUGGCAGUGGAACUUGCGGGGCGGGGAGUAAGUGCCUGAUGAGCGUCCAACUCAGAUUCGGGGAGUUCUCAGAAGUGAUGGCAUCUAAGCAGAGGGCUGAUGGAUGAAUGAGGAUGUUGAGGCAAGGGGAGUGAAAUGAUUUGCCCAAGAUGACCCAGCUUAUGAGAGACAGAGCCAGGGCUGGACCCCACGUGUCUGGCUCCAAGGACUGUGCCCUCCACGAGGUGAGGCCGCAGUGAGGUGAGCUGACCCAGGAAUGCCUGACAGAAAAAUAUCCGUACCUGCGGUAGUCAACUCAAAACAUGUGCGAUGACAGCAGUGCCUCAAUAACGGCUGGACUGCACUCCCUAUGCAUCAGAGGUGGCACCCAGCACUGUCACAUUCUGUGAUCCUAUGGCAACUGGACGAGGACUAAUAGGUGCAACAGUCCUAAAAUCUGGCUGUACCCAUUCCUUUGGAGGACUCCGGCAGACCCACGUGUCCUACGGCUCAACUUUCCACACCUACCCUGUUUGUAAUUCCUAAGCAAGAUUCUGAGCUCGGCUGUCGUAUUUCGGUUUUACAGUUAAUUGAAAAUAUUUUGAUCCCAAAGUGCCCUUAGUAUCAUGUUUUAUUAAUGCAACUGACUCAUAUUAAUGAGUGCCUGCUUUUGAGUCGAGACCUGAAUAAGUUAUCCGGUUUCAUUGUUUAUAUCCUUAGUUAAAAAAAAAAAUUCCAUGCACUCUGACCUCAUGACACCUAAACCCUGCCCAUUUAGUUAAAACAGGAAAACUAGUUAUCUGAUACCGUGAAGGCAAAUCAGCUGGUAGAUGUGCUCACAUGUUUCCAUUUGCACUAGUUGUGGGCCUGGUGGGGAGCCAUAGAUUAUUCAUCAGGAAUGCACAGGAGAGAAUGUCUUUUUUCCAUUUGUUUGUUAAUUUCCAAAAUAAAACCAAUGCAAAGAGCAACAGUUAGAGUGCAUUUGUUUUUCAUUGUGAGCACCUAUCAUUA